rnacentral:rRNA from 1 species
UGGGGAAUUUUACGCAAUGGGGGAAACCCUGACGUAGCGACACCGCGUGAGCGAAGAAGCCUUUUGGGGUGUAAAGCUCUGUCAGCUGGAACGAACACAAUGACGGUACCAGCAGAGGAAGCAUCGGCUAACUACGUGCCAGCAGCCGCGGUAAGACGUAGGAUGCAAGCGUUGUCCGGAUUCAUUGGGCGUAAAGAGUUCGUAGGUGGUCUGUUAAGUUUGGUGUUAAAGAGCGGGGCCCAACCCCGAUAGUGCACUGAAUACUGGCAGACUUGAGUGCGGUAGAGGUAAGUGGAAUUCCAAGUGUUGCGGUGAAAGGCAUAGAUAUUUGGAAGAACACCGGUGGCGUAAGCGACUUACUGGGCCGUAACUGACACUGAGGAACGAAAGCCGGGGUAGCGAAUG